rnacentral:rRNA from 1 species
GACGAACGCUGGCGGCGUGCUUAACACAUGCAAGUCGAACGGAAAGGCCCUGCUUUUGUGGGGUGCUCGAGUGGCGAACGGGUGAGUAACACGUGAGUAACCUGCCAUUGACUUUGGGAUAACUUCAGGAAACUGGGGCUAAUACCGGAUAGGAGUUCCUGCUGUUUGGUGGGGGUUGGAAAGUUUCGGCGGUUGGGGAUGGACUCGCGGCUUAUCAGCUUGUUGGUGGGGUAGUGGCUUACCAAGGCUUUGACGGGUAGCCGGCCUGAGAGGGUGACCGGCCACAUUGGGACUGAGAUACGACCCAGACUCCUACGGGAGGCAGAAGAGGGGAAUAUUGCACAAGGGGCGGAAGCCUAAUGCAGCAACGCAGCGUGCGGGAUGACGGCCUUCGGGUUGUAAACCGCUUUCGCCUGUGACGAAACGUGAGUGACGGUAAUGGGUAAAGAAGCACCGGCUAACUACGUG